rfam:Oryza sativa Indica Group scaffold000159 genomic scaffold, whole genome shotgun sequence.
AGUAAGCGCAGUUGUGGGUUUCAGUGUCCAACUUUGACCAUCCGUUUUAUUUGAAAUAUUUUUAUAAUUAGUAUUUUUAUUGUUACUAGAUGAUAAAAUAUGAAUAGUACUUUAUGCAUGAAUUAACUUCUAAAAUUUUUUUAUAAAUUUUUCAAAUAAUACGGACGGUUAAACGUUGUCCACAAAAACUUAUGGCUGCACUUAUA